rfam:Sediminibacillus halophilus strain CGMCC 1.6199 genome assembly, contig: Ga0079860_101
CAGACCUUUAAAUCGAGUCCCGUGAGGCUUGCAAGGUUGCCAAAGGAUACGUGUAUAUUUUCAGCACGUUUACCUCCUUGCGACCAAGCAAGGAGGUUUUUUUACG